GGUUAAGCGACUAAGCGUACACGGUGGAUGCCCUGGCAGUCAGAGGCGAUGAAGGGCGUGCUAAUCUGCGAUAAGCGCCGGUAAGGUGAUAUGAACCGUUAUAACCGGCGAUUUCCGAAUGGGGAAACCCAGUGUGAUUCGUCACACUAUCAUUAACUGAAUCCAUAGGUUAAUGAGGCGAACCGGGGGAACUGAAACAUCUAAGUACCCCGAGGAAAAGAAAUCAACCGAGAUUCCCCCAGUAGCGGCGAGCGAACGGGGAGGAGCCCAGAGCCUGAAUCAGCAUGUGUGUUAGUGGAAGCGUCUGGAAAGGCGCGCGAUACAGGGUGACAGCCCCGUACACAAAAGCGCAUGUGCUGUGAGCUCGAUGAGUAGGGCGGGACACGUGGUAUCCUGUCUGAAUAUGGGGGGACCAUCCUCCAAGGCUAAAUACUCCUGACUGACCGAUAGUGAACCAGUACCGUGAGGGAAAGGCGAAAAGAACCCCGGCGAGGGGAGUGAAAAAGAACCUGAAACCGUGUACGUACAAGCAGUGGGAGCACAGGUUUACCUGUGUGACUGCGUACCUUUUGUAUAAUGGGUCAGCGACUUAUAUUCUGUAGCAAGGUUAACCGUAUAGGGGAGCCGCAGGGAAACCGAGUCUUAAUUGGGCGUUAAGUUGCAGGGUAUAGACCCGAAACCCGGUGAUCUAGCCAUGGGCAGGUUGAAGGUUGGGUAACACUAACUGGAGGACCGAACCGACUAAUGUUGAAAAAUUAGCGGAUGACCUGUGGCUGGGGGUGAAAGGCCAAUCAAACCGGGAGAUAGCUGGUUCUCCCCGAAAGCUAUUUAGGUAGCGCCUCGUGAAUUCAUCUCCGGGGGUAGAGCACUGUUUCGGCUAGGGGGCCAUCCCGGCUUACCAACCCGAUGCAAACUGCGAAUACCGGAGAAUGUUAUCACGGGAGACACACGGCGGGUGCUAACGUCCGUCGUGAAGAGGGAAACAACCCAGACCGCCAGCUAAGGUCCCAAAGUCAUGGUUAAGUGGGAAACGAUGUGGGAAGGCCCAGACAGCCAGGAUGUUGGCUUAGAAGCAGCCAUCAUUUAAAGAAAGCGUAAUAGCUCACUGGUCGAGUCGGCCUGCGCGGAAGAUGUAACGGGGCUAAACCAUGCACCGAAGCUGCGGCAGCGACACUGUGUGUUGUUGGGUAGGGGAGCGUUCUGUAAGCCUGUGAAGGUGGCCUGUGAGGGUUGCUGGAGGUAUCAGAAGUGCGAAUGCUGACAUAAGUAACGAUAAAGCGGGUGAAAAGCCCGCUCGCCGGAAGACCAAGGGUUCCUGUCCAACGUUAAUCGGGGCAGGGUGAGUCGACCCCUAAGGCGAGGCCGAAAGGCGUAGUCGAUGGGAAACGGGUUAAUAUUCCCGUACUUGGUGUUACUGCGAAGGGGGGACGGAGAAGGCUAUGUUGGCCGGGCGACGGUUGUCCCGGUUUAAGCGUGUAGGUGUGUGUUCCAGGUAAAUCCGGUUCACUUUAACACUGAGGCGUGAUGACGAGGCACUACGGUGCUGAAGCAACAAAUGCCCUGCUUCCAGGAAAAGCCUCUAAGCAUCAGGUAACAUCAAAUCGUACCCCAAACCGACACAGGUGGUCAGGUAGAGAAUACCAAGGCGCUUGAGAGAACUCGGGUGAAGGAACUAGGCAAAAUGGUGCCGUAACUUCGGGAGAAGGCACGCUGACAUGUAGGUGAAGUGAUUUACUCAUGGAGCUGAAGUCAGUCGAAGAUACCAGCUGGCUGCAACUGUUUAUUAAAAACACAGCACUGUGCAAACACGAAAGUGGACGUAUACGGUGUGACGCCUGCCCGGUGCCGGAAGGUUAAUUGAUGGGGUCAGCGCAAGCGAAGCUCCUGAUCGAAGCCCCGGUAAACGGCGGCCGUAACUAUAACGGUCCUAAGGUAGCGAAAUUCCUUGUCGGGUAAGUUCCGACCUGCACGAAUGGCGUAAUGAUGGCCAGGCUGUCUCCACCCGAGACUCAGUGAAAUUGAACUCGCUGUGAAGAUGCAGUGUACCCGCGGCAAGACGGAAAGACCCCGUGAACCUUUACUAUAGCUUGACACUGAACAUUGAGCCUUGAUGUGUAGGAUAGGUGGGAGGCUUUGAAGCGUGGACGCCAGUCUGCGUGGAGCCGGCCUUGAAAUACCACCCUUUAAUGUUUGAUGUUCUAACGUGGACCCGUGAUCCGGGUUGCGGACAGUGUCUGGUGGGUAGUUUGACUGGGGCGGUCUCCUCCUAAAGAGUAACGGAGGAGCACGAAGGUUGGCUAAUCCUGGUCGGACAUCAGGAGGUUAGUGCAAUGGCAUAAGCCAGCUUGACUGCGAGCGUGACGGCGCGAGCAGGUGCGAAAGCAGGUCAUAGUGAUCCGGUGGUUCUGAAUGGAAGGGCCAUCGCUCAACGGAUAAAAGGUACUCCGGGGAUAACAGGCUGAUACCGCCCAAGAGUUCAUAUCGACGGCGGUGUUUGGCACCUCGAUGUCGGCUCAUCACAUCCUGGGGCUGAAGUAGGUCCCAAGGGUAUGGCUGUUCGCCAUUUAAAGUGGUACGCGAGCUGGGUUUAGAACGUCGUGAGACAGUUCGGUCCCUAUCUGCCGUGGGCGCUGGAGAACUGAGGGGGGCUGCUCCUAGUACGAGAGGACCGGAGUGGACGCAUCACUGGUGUUCGGGUUGUCAUGCCAAUGGCACUGCCCGGUAGCUAAAUGCGGAAGAGAUAAGUGCUGAAAGCAUCUAAGCACGAAACUUGCCCCGAGAUGAGUUCUCCCUGAGACUUAGAGUCUCCUGAAGGAACGUUGAAGACGACGACGUUGAUAGGCCGGGUGUGUAAGCGCAGCGAUGCGUUGAGCUAACCGGUACUAAUGAACCGUGAGGCUUAACCUU
rnacentral:rRNA from 1 species